rnacentral:rRNA from 1 species
UACGUAGGGUCCGAGCGUUGUCCGGAAUUAUUGGGCGUAAAGAGCUCGUAGGCGGUUUGUCGCGUCUGCUGUGAAAUCCCGAGGCUCAACCUCGGGUCUGCAGUGGGUACGGGCAGACUGGAGUGCGGUAGGGGAGACUGGAAUUCCUGGUGUAGCGGUGAAAUGCGUAGAGAUUGGAAAGAACACCGAUGGCGAAGGCACUUUACUGGGCUAUUACUAACACUCAGAGACGAAAGCUAGGGUAGCAAAUGGG